AAUGAAGAGCAGCUCAGGUGGGAAGAGUGCCAAUAGCCCUCAGUAUAUAGUAGUAAACUUGGAUUUCACUCACUGAGAGAUAAGAUUCUCUAAGAACAAGGACCCCGCAACAUUGCAGCAAACAUAUAAGAGUGAAACCAACAUCACCAGUAACUUUCAGGCAACAAGGCAAAAAUGAUGAAAAAAUACAGACCAGUGAACCCGGAACCAGAUACAAUCUUCAAAUGGAUUAUUUAAAGAAGAGCCUGUGAAGUAUUUGGAAAGUCAUGGCUUUGGCAUGAGACAUGCUAGACUGACAUCAAGUCCCUUAUUGAUUCAUGCUUUAGGAUGACAGGUCAAGUGGACCAUAGACAUAGCGUAUUUCAAAAUUUCAACAGGACAGUAACAAAGUCUCGUGAUAAUCUUAUACACAGAUGAAAUCCAUGAGCUUCAUUAUGGUGAGGUUUGAAUCUCUAUGUAAAAGGAAUAAUAUUCAGGUCAACUGGGAAGAAAGUCCAGAGCAAUAUCAUGCAAGAUCCACCCAUUGCUAAGAUGUAGGACACAUUUUUAAAAUAUAUUUUCACAAUGAUAAGCAUGACCCACAUGUAACUUUUUUAAAAACAACCAAUUGAAGAGGAGACAAAAAUUAGAAGUCCAGAAGACUUGUAUACAUUAUCAGCAUAAGAUUAACCUCAUAAAAUGACAUUAUAAAUAAAAAAAAUGCAUCUUUAAGUGGUAACAUUCCAUGAUGAGAGCACUGACUUUCUGCCACUAUUCUGUGAAAGAGACUGAGGUUUCAUUCAGCUGGUGACCAGACAUAUAGGAAGAAGCAUUCUGAAAAGACAAUUCACAGGUCUGCUACAUUAACGGUAGGAUUAUUAUAUAA